UGGGGAAUUUUGGACAAUGGGGGAAACCCUGAUCCAGCCAUCCCGCGUGUGCGAUGAAGGCCUUCGGGUUGUAAAGCACUUUUGGCAGGAAAGAAACGUCGCGGGUUAAUACCCCGCGAAACUGACGGUACCUGCAGAAUAAGCACCGGCUAACUACGUGCCAGCAGCCGCGGUAAUACGUAGGGUGCAAGCGUUAAUCGGAAUUACUGGGCGUAAAGCGUGCGCAGGCGGUUUGGAAAGAAAGAUGUGAAAUCCCAGAGCUUAACUUUGGAACUGCAUUUUUAACUACCGGGCUAGAGUGUGUCAGAGGGAGGUGGAAUUCCGCGUGUAGCAGUGAAAUGCGUAGAUAUGCGGAGGAACACCGAUGGCGAAGGCAGCCCCCUGGGAUAACACUGACGCUCAUGCACGAAAGCGUGGGGAGCAAACAGGAUUAGAUACCCUGGUAGUCCACGCCCUAAACGAUGUCAACUAGCUGUUGGGGCCUUCGGGCCUUGGUAGCGCAGCUAACGCGUGAAGUUGACCGCCUGGGGAGUACGGUCGCAAGAUUAAAACUCAAAUGAAUUGACGGGGUCAUAGCUG
rnacentral:rRNA from 1 species